AGAGUUUGAUCCUGGCUCAGGAUGAACGCUAGCUACAGGCUUAACACAUGCAAGUCGAGGGGCAGCAUGGACCCAGCUUUGCUGGGUUUUGAUGGCGACCGGCGCACGGGUGAGUAACGCGUAUCCAACCUGCCCUUUACUCCGGGAUAGUCUCCUGAAAGGGAGUUUAAUACCGGAUGUGUUUGUCUUUCCGCAUGGGAGCGACAAAUAAAGAUUAAUUGGUAAAGGAUGGGGAUGCGUCCCAUUAGCUUGUUGGCGGGGUAACGGCCCACCAAGGCGACGAUGGGUAGGGGUUCUGAGAGGAAGGUCCCCCACAUUGGAACUGAGACACGGUCCAAAACUCCUACGGGAGGCA
rnacentral:rRNA from 1 species